rnacentral:lncRNA from 1 species
CUUCGGCUCGCGCGCGGUGCACGCACCCACUGACGUGUGUCCACUGUCUGGCACUCCCUAGUGAGAUGAACCCGGUACCUCAGAUGGAAUUGCAGAAAUCACCCGUCUUCUGCUUUGCUCCCGCUGGGAGCUGUAGACCGGAGCUGUUCCUAUUCAGCCAUCUUGGCUCCUCCUGACUUUGUUUUUUUAUAAUCUUGCUUACAUGUUUUCAUGACUCCUGGCAUGGGGAGUAGCUACAGAGAAAUCUAAGAAUGGCCCUGUCUGAGAGAUAUGUUACCCUAAACACCAAGACUCAAUAUAUAUGACUUAAGAAAAAAAAGAUCCUUAUGCACUAUCUGAAGGUGAUGCUUCCUGACUUUUGCAACAGAAAGAAUGCUGUCUUCCUGUGCCUGCGGAGAUGAUAAUCAAGCUGGCACACUGACAAUCAAUGUAAAUUCAUUAAACAAAACAGGAAGUAAACAGGUAGGACAUCUUUCUCCUCUGUGCUCCUUCCUUUUCCUCAUGAGAGAAGAAUGGACUAACCUCAUUGAUUGAGAUUGUCAUGACAAUGUGUCUCCUCCCCUUUCCUUUCUGAUUCUGGGUUGAACCCCAAGGAAACAUGAUGAACCAGGUUGCAUGACUGUGAAGGCAGGAUAAAAGAAAAGCAGAAGAACCACAUUAAUCAUGGCAGACAUUGAUGAAGAAGGACAAUGAGGUUUUUCUGGUGGGUUUCUGGAGAAAUCAACUGUCAACAUUCUGCAAAACAAUCACUGACUCAAAAAACUCAAGAAGGGAGUAAAGAUAAUUAAUAAAGUAAAAGAUAUUGCCACCCCACUCUUCUUAUGUGGCGAUGCCUAAAGAAGAGAUCGCGCUGGCUGCAAUAAUGCCCCAAUGGUCAAGAUAUGCCAGUUAUUCAAAUUGGAAAAUCCAGGUAUAUUCAUGGAACUUACCAAUCUUUGGUUACUAGUAGGAAGUCUGCACAAGCAGCAACUACCACAGUUGUUCUAAAAACAGGGUGACAAAAGGCCACUCUUUCAGGCUAUGAAGACAUUUUGGCUUUUGUUUUCACAAUUAGAGACUCAGCAGCUUUCUGGACAGAAACUGCUGGAGUCCAGGCUAUGGCAUACUUGUUUCAUCUGCCCUCUCC